rnacentral:rRNA from 1 species
UACGAAGGGGGCUAGCGUUGCUCGGAAUCACUGGGCGUAAAGGGUGCGUAGGCGGGUCUUUAAGUCAGGGGUGAAAUCCUGGAGCUCAACUCCAGAACUGCCUUUGAUACUGAAGAUCUUGAGUUCGGGAGGGGUGAGUGGAACUGCGAGUGUAGAGGUGAAAUUCGUAGAUAUUCGCAAGAACACCAGUGGCGAAGGCGGUUCUCUGGGACGGUACUGACGCUGAGACGCGAAAGCGUGGGGAGCGAACAGG